GAAUAAACUAGAAUUAAAAAAAAGCCAACUUUUAAUUUUAACAAAGUUGAACUAUGUCCUAGACAUUUUUUAUAAAGUUUUCAUGAAAUUAUGCAUGUUAGGGCAAGUUGUUUUAUAUGUUAUAAUGUAAUAUAUUUUACAUGUAUAUUUUGUUAAAAGUUUCCAGUGUGACAGCUUAACCCACAAAGUGUGGCAAUAUUUAUUUCCUGGGCAAUAUUUUUCAAGGUGUACAAACAGAAAUAGACAUUUGAAAAAUCAAGCUACACUUAAGUAAAAAGUGUGACAAUUAGCCCCAGUUCCUGUUUAUAUUACUGCAAGUUACACAGGGUUCAUUUCAUAAGAGUAAUGUUUGGAUCAGAAUUGGUUCAUAAUGCUGAAGUCAUGCUUUGAAAGGCAACCCUGACAUCCAAUGAGGUCUUAUGGGCUACUGAUGAAAGAUCUGUGUUCAUCUGAUCUCCAUAACCAUCAUUCAUCCAGAACCAACACAAUUAGAUUUAUUAGCCUUCAUACCUCAAUAAAGACUUUUAAGAUAUGGCAUGUUAUUAGUACACUUUUAAUAGAGCUCUAUAAGUUGUGAUUCAAUGGCUUUGUUAUAUUUUUCCCUAAAGCACCAAGGAGCAGAGCUUUGUAAAUCAAGGAGCAGAAGGUUGAAUCCAUGUUCCCUAAGGUUUUCCUUCAGUGGUGUGCAGCUCUUUCUAGCUGCGUGGCUGAUCUAGAAGACAGGAUCAACAGAUAAACAGUGGCAAUUAUAUAUAUAUAUUUUUUUUUUUUUUUUGAGUGAUUUUUGUUGUUUUUGGCAUGAUGGAUGAUCCUGCUCUCCUCAUCCUCCUCCUGGAGCAGGGUGAGCGCUCUCUUGAGGACCACACAAGAGACUUUUUGGACCUUGCCAACCAAACACACUACCUGGAUAACUGCCUCACCACGUUCUACCAUGUGGGACUAAACACCACCGUUAAGGCAAAGUUGUCUGGGGACGGUCCUCGAGAGAGCCUAGCCGCCUAUGUGGAGUGGGUGCUGGUAAAUAACAACUCGCUGCUGACUCCCUGCUACCUAGAUGAGGAACUCACCAGCCCCACUCCUGAGCCAGCCAUCAUACCAGCACAUCACCGAGUGUGAGCACGAGCCCACCUCAGACACGGAGGUGUGAUCGAAGAGCCUGAGGAAACAGAGCCAAUCACCGCCCCGGAGCCCACGCCCGCCAAUAAGUCUGAAAGUGAAAGUGAAAGUGAAGUGACGUGUGGCCGAAUAUAGUGAGCCAUAUUCGGAAUUUGUGCUCUGCAUUUAACCCUUCCAAGUGCACACACACAGUAGUGAACACACACACACCUGGAGUGAACUAGGUGUGCGAACCGGCCACAACAUUGGAGUAUUCAUGGAAGACGAGGUAAAAGAGGAAAGCCACACCCACAUCUCCACUGCUGAGGGUGAGCUGCAGCUGGUUUCUGUGAAUUCUCUUUCUUAUUCUUUGUCUGUGUCAAGUAUUGCUUGUUUUGAUUUCUUGCUUGUUCUGUCCAACCCUUAGCCUUUUGAUCCCUCGCUAGUUCCAGCACUGAAUUCUCUUGAAGUCUCUUAAACUCCCACCCAGCCUCCCUAUCCCACCUCUGCCUUCUUGUAUCUGGUUUUCAGUUCCUGUCCCAUCACCUGUCUGUCUUUCUGUUAACUCUAUGCCAGCUGCAGCUUAUGCCAUUACCAUCCAGCCUCAAGAUCAUCUUCAUCUAUCUGGGACUAUCCUGCUGUUGGCACUUGUGGACCUCAUCACCACUUCUGUACAGCCUUCGUCUAGCACCUACCCAUCUCCCAGAUGCACACCCUCAGUCUGCAUCUGCCUAUGUGGGUUCACAUCGGGGCUUCCUUCCAUCAGCUCCGCCUUGGUGUGAGGUUCCUCUGUCUCCGCCUUGGUUCCUAGCUUCCUCGUCUCCACCAUGGCCCCUCAUCCCAACGGCUCCACUAGGCUCCCUUCUCCAUCCUGCUCAACCUUGGUCAGUCAUUGACCAUCCGCUGCCUCGGGAUUGCAUUCCUCUGGCUUUGCCUUGUCAUUCCACCCCUCUGGCUCUGUCAGACUCCUCCUUCCCUCUGUCUUCGCCUUUGUCCUCAGUUGCUCCGGCUCCACCACGGUCCAGGCUCAGCGUCUGAUCGGCUCCACCUGGGUCACUAUUGCUGCCGGCCUCAUUGCAGGAGCUUGCACCCCCAGGAUCCUCCGCCCAGGCAUCAUCCAUGGCUCCUCCCUCCUGCAUCUACACCUGGUCUCCACAGCGCGAGGUCGGGCCUUCCGGGAGGGGGCGUUCUGUCACAGUCUUGUCUUUGUUUUAGUCUUCCCUGUUUGGCCUAGUUUUCCCUCAUGUGUCGGAUUAGUUAUCUCUCUCACCUGUAAUUGUUAAUUAUCUCAUUAAUCCUCUGCCUUAUUUAAACCCUAGGCUCAUUUGAGAUGAGCAAAAGUUGCACAGAACCGAUCACAGCAAGAUGCAUGCAAGUUAGAAAUGUGUCCCAGUGCAGUCCGCCUUGCUCUGAUGUUAUGCUGACGAAUGCCAAAAAUCUCUCGCCAGAUCCGUCGUGCAGUGGAGCGCAGUUGCUCUCCCCCAGCUGCGCUGACCAAAAGCAUGAUGGGAAAUGACUUGCUGACAUCACAGUUUAAUGCUCAUUGGUUCAAACAACCGUGAGGUUGCGUUCUCUUCUAAAAUGUUUUAUUUUUUUAUCUGAUAUCAUGUGAUUGUUUAAAUUAUGCAUGAAUAUUCCCAAACACUAUGACAGUGCAAUUUCUGUGUGAGAUAUGUAGUUGUUGUCAUGUUUCUGAAAAAUACUAAAAUACAUGUAUGUAUUAAAGUAAAAAUGGAUGAUAAAUACGUCUUUUGAAU
ensembl:lncRNA